GUUCUUUACUUUUCUUUUUUUGUCAAUCUUUCUUUUAUUGAGGCCAAAUGUGAUACAAUACAGAAAAGAGAGUUUUAGCAGAAAUAUACAAAAUAGUAAAAUGGUUGUUUAAUACUAAACAGAUUCCUUGAUAGACUGCCUCAUUUUAUAUAAAUAGAUAACAAGCUAGUUAAACAUGGUGAUAAAACAAGACUUCAAGGUUUAGAAUAUAUUCUAGGUAUGUUGGUAAAGGUUAGAGAGAAUAAAAUGAAUCAUGCCAGUUUACCAUACCAACGAGGGAGAUACCAGUCGCCUGAGUGGAAACAAACACUCAUAAUACCCAGAACAAUUCCUCCGCACAAUCAAAGUAAAACAAAGCACUGCAACACUAUAAAAUAAAAUAGAAACUGCUGCCCAGUAUAAGCCAUAAGCAGGGCCAGAUUAAGAGCCUAGUGGGCCUGGUGCUGACAAUUAUGAUGGGCCUAAUUACAGAAUCUUAU